rnacentral:rRNA from 1 species
UACGGGGGGAGCAAGCGUUGUUCGGAUUUACUGGGCGUAAAGGGCGCGUAGGCGGCCUCCGCAAGUCAGUUGUGAAAUCUCCGAGCUUAACUCGGAAAGGUCAACUGAUACUGCGGGGCUAGAGUGCGGAAGGGGCAACUGGAAUUCUUGGUGUAGCGGUGAAAUGCGUAGAUAUCAAGAGGAACACCUGCGGCGAAGGCGGGUGCUGGGCUGACACUGACGCUGAGGCGCGAAAGCUAGGGGAGCGAACGGG